CAAGCAGGUUGGGCAGUUGCAUACUACGGUAUGAGGAAAGUCCGAGCCCCAUAGAGCAGAAUAACGGCUAACGGCCGCCGAGGGUAACCUUAGGGACAGUGCAACAGAGAUAUACCGCCGCUUUUGCGGUAAGGGUGGAAAGGCGAGG
rnacentral:RNase_P_RNA from 1 species